UCCUCCGAGGGUCUAGAAUACUGAGGUGG
rnacentral:piRNA from 1 species